AUGAGGGAGGCUCCGUGGGUGUGGGACCCUCCUGGCCAGGUGUGGGAUAUGAUCUCCUGGUGUGCCUGUUUGUUUAAAGCGCAGUAUUGGGGUGGGAGUUACCCGAUUUUCCAGGUGUUGUGUGUCUCAGUUCCCCUGGCUAGGAAAAGGGAUUCCCUUCCCCCUUGCGCUUCCCAGGUGAGGCAAUGCCUCGCCCUGCUUCAGCUCUCGCUGGUCGGGCUGCAGCAGCUGACCAGCACCGAUCGUCUGGCACUCUCCAGUGAGAUGAACCCAGAACCUCAGUUGAAAAUGCAGAAAUCACUGGUCUUCUGUGUCGCUCGCUCUGGGAGUUGGAGACUGGAGCUCCAGAUUUCAGUUUUAAAAGUCAUCUCUUCAGGGAAACCUCUAUUUUCUCAUCUGUGUGCAAUAGAUGCAGCCUUCUGCAGAGGUGAGGAGUUGUUUUCGUCUCUCCAGCUUAUAUUCUGGACCUUCUUCAGAGGACUAUCUUGUGUUCAGAAGUGCCAGUGCUUGACUGCUGCAGAAGUGUGAAAGCCCAGCUCUCUUACCUUAAAGCGGUACAGACUUUGCAAUGUAAUUUAUAUUACAGAACACCCAAAGAAUUAGGAUGAGGCGUUGAUUUCACCUGAACUUGCACUUUUGUUUAGGUUUGCUGCUUCCCCCUCCUCCUUAUCAGCUUCUUAAUAAAUCAUCUACACAAGAAUCCACAGCUCAGGUGAGUCGAACCUAAAGAUGCACCCGUCUUUCCCCUCUGUUCCUGAUGCAUGAGUUUCCCUGCUCUUCCUUGAACCUGCACCGUGCCCCAACUUCCAGGACUUGUAGAUGGUUUUCUUUCUGUCUGGAAUGCCAUUUUCCCGCAUGUCCACACAGUUCACAUCUUUACUUCCUUCGUGUCUCCACUCAAAUAUCACUUUUUCAGGGAUGUCUUUCAUGACCACUCUAUGUUUUCUACCCUAUCCCAGUCCAUACAUUUAUCCCCACUUACCAUUCUCCACAACAUUCAUCUUCAUUUAUUUAUGUUUGCGAACGAAGUGUUUUCCACACGUGGGCAUACAUCCCAUGUGUCUUCAUUCCCCAGCUGCAUUCUAGCACACAGUGCAAGAGCCUGAUUACAUAAAAGGCAUUCAGCACAUGUUUUAAAAUGAAAUGUACAAAUGAGUCACUAUGCAAAACUUAACUACACAGUAAACUGAAUAAAAUUUUUAUUCUAUAAUUAAGCAUUAUGUUGCCUGUCUAAUGUCCAAAAUUAAAGAAAUCCUAAAUGAAUGAUUACAGAUAAAUAUCUGGACUAGUUGUGCCUCAACAAUUGAUUGCAGAAAUAAUUGCCGUCUUCAUUGUAGACCUGAUAAGCACCGCAUGCUGUAAAAUGUUGCCUUAACCAAGCUGACAUGGGAGCUGUGAUAAAUGUACUGCAUAACAGUUUAUGAAAUCACAACUUCUGAUAAUAGUACUGAACAUUAGUUAAAUACUCUGCCUGAAACUGGCCAGAAAGUUGAAUAUAUUUGCUGAAGAUAAAAU
rnacentral:lncRNA from 10 species